UGUCAAACCAUAAAUCUAUUAAUAAAAUAUAGAAAUGCUAAUGACCAACUAAUAUGCAGGAAGAGAAACAACAACUAGAAACAUUUACUAAUACCCCGUAGGCUGAGAAGCAAAAGGAGGAAUCCGCCCGAGGGACUCGCAUAUAAUUAAUUAGUUAGUGAGGCAAUAGCUUACCAAGACAAUAAUUAGUAGCCGAUAUGAGAGGAUGAUUAGCUAUAAUAAGAUUGAGAAACGGCCUAGACUGCUACGAGGGACAGUAGUGGAGAAUUUUCUGUAAUGGGUGUAAGCCUGACAAAGCAGUCUGCAUGGAGAUAGAAGGCCUACGAGUCAUGAACUUUUUUUCCUAGAAAAGAAGUAAUGACAGUAUCACAGAAAUAAGUAUCGGCUAACUUCGUGCCAGUAACUACAGUAAUACAAAUGAUGCA
rnacentral:ncRNA from 1 species